rnacentral:rRNA from 1 species
AUUGAACGCUGGCGGCAGGCCUAACACAUGCAAGUCGAGCGGAUGAAGGGAGCUUGCUCCUGGAUUCAGCGGCGGACGGGUGAGUAAUGCCUAGGAAUCUGCCUGGUAGUGGGGGAUAACGUCCGGAAACGGGCGCUAAUACCGCAUACGUCCUGAGGGAGAAAGUGGGGGAUCUUCGGACCUCACGCUAUCAGAUGAGCCUAGGUCGGAUUAGCUAGUUGGUGGGGUAAAGGCCUACCAAGGCGACGAUCCGUAACUGGUCUGAGAGGAUGAUCAGUCACACUGGAACUGAGACACGGUCCAGACUCCUACGGGAGGCAGCAGUGGGGAAUAUUGGACAAUGGGCGAAAGACUGAUCCAGCCAUGCCGCGUGUGUGAAGAAGGUCUUAGGAUUGUAAAGCACUUUAAGUUGGGAGGAAGGGCAGUAAGUUAAUACCUUGCUGUUUUGACGUUACCAACAGAAUAAGCACAGGCUAAAUUCGUG